UACGUAGGGGGCUAGCGUUGUCCGGAAUCAUUGGGCGUAAAGCGCGUGUAGGCGGUCCGGUAAGUCCGCUGUGAAAGUCGGGGGCUCAACCCUCGGAUGCCGGUGGAUACUGUCGGGCUUGAGUACGGAAGAGGCGAGUGGAAUUCCUGGUGUAGCGGUGAAAUGCGCAGAUAUCAGGAGGAACACCAAUUGCGAAGGCAGCUCGCUAGGACGGUACUGACGCUGAGGCGCGAAAGCGUGGGGAGCGAACAGG
rnacentral:rRNA from 1 species